AUUUACUCUAAUGACUUCAUUUGAUUUUGAUUACUUGUAAAAAUUUCAUUUUCAGAUAAGAGCACAUUCAGGAACUAGUGUUUAGGACACCAUCUGGGAAGAUAAACUGUAUGAAUAGCUAACGUUUCUGAAGAAGUAUAUCUGGAAGUUCUUUAAUAGUGGUUUUAUAUAUACGUGUGAAGUUUAUUAAAAUACUGGGAUAAUUAUGAGUGUAUGCCAAUCGAUGAGUCAUGUCUAAAUAUUUGUUUUUGAGACAGGACUUGUUUAGUCUUACAAAAAAUAUAUACAUACAUAGUUUAAUGAAAGAUUUUCUAUGUGGACUGACAAGAGCCAUAAACUAACCAAGGCCUUAGCGCCAGGUAUGAGAAUCUAUUUUUGAAUUCUUGGCUGCUGUUGUCCAAGAGACUUCCAAAACAUUUUGGGUUAUUUAUGUUGCUAUUGGUUACCCCAAAGGUGGACAUUGAUAAGUCCCAUGAAGACAUCAAGCACUUCAGACACAGGACCAGAGGAUUUGAACUAUAUGCAACCUGAAAGCCUCAUUCCUGAGGACCACCUUGCAUAAUAUGAGAAAGUGCCACAUGUACUUCCAAAGGAGAGAAGAAGCAACAGUCCUUCCUAGACCCAGCUGUACAUCCUGUGCACUGCAACAAUGACCAGAAUGGCAAGCGUGCCCUAUGGGUAUGGUACUGAUACACAUUCCUUGUUGGUGGCCAUGCGAUGGCAUCAUAGGUUGCUGCAGAUGGUUUCAAUGGUUCUGUUGGAUGUUCUUCAUCUGUGCCUGCAAGAGGCGCCCAAGGCUUUAUGUAUGGCCAUUGCUAUGACCUAGUGUGAUGCUCUACUUUCCCGCUGAACUUU
rnacentral:lncRNA from 1 species